rnacentral:rRNA from 1 species
GAUGAACGCUGGCUACAGGCUCAACACAUGCAAGUCGAGGGGAAACGACGGGGAAGCUUGCUUCCCCGGGCGUCGACCGGCGCACGGGUGAGUAACGCGUAUCCAACCUGCCUCUGACUGAGGGAUAACCCGUCGAAAGUCGGCCUAAUACCUCAUGGCAUCGUCUGCGGGCAUCCAACGACGAUUAAAGAUUUCAUCUGUCAGAGAUGGGGAUGCGUCUGAUUAGCUUGUUGGCGGGGUAAUGGCCCACCAAGGCGACGAUCAGUAGGGGUUCUGAGAGGAAGGUACCCCACAUUGGAACUGAGACACGGUCCAAACUCCUACGGGAGGCAGCAGUGAGGAAUAUUGGUCAAUGGGCGAGAGCCUGAACCAGCCAAGUAGCGUGCAGGAUGACGGCCCUAUGGGUUGUAAACUGCUUUUAUGCGGGGAUAAAGUGAGGGACGUGUCCUUCAUUGCAGGUACCGCAUGAAUAAGGACCGGCUAAUUCCGUG